AUUGAACGCUGGCGGCAGGCCUAACACAUGCAAGUCGAACGGCAGCACAGAAGAGCUUGCUCUUUGGGUGGCGAGUGGCGGACGGGUGAGUAAUGUCUGGGAAACUGCCCGAUGGAGGGGGAUAACUACCGGAAACGGUAGCUAAUACCGCAUAACGUCGCAAGACCAAAGUGGGGGACCUUCGGGCCUCACACCAUCGGAUGUGCCCAGAUGGGAUUAGCUAGUAGGUGGGGUAAUGGCUCACCUAGGCGACGAUCCCUAGCUGGUCUGAGAGGAUGACCAGCCACACUGGAACUGAGACACGGUCCAGACUCCUACGGGAGGCAGCAGUGGGGAAUAUUGCACAAUGGGCGCAAGCUUGAUGCAGCCAUGCCGCGUGUAUGAAGAAGGCCUUCGGGUUGUAAAGUACUUUCAGCGGGGAGGAAGGCGGUGAGGUUAAUAACCUCGCCGAUUGACGUUACCCGCAGAAGAAGCACCGGCUAACUCCGUGCCAGCCGCCGCAGUAA
rnacentral:rRNA from 1 species